GGGAUAACACUUGGAAACAGGUGCUAAUACCGUAUAACACUAUUUUCCGCAUGGAAGAAAGUUGAAAGGCGCUUUUGCGUCACUGAUGGAUGGACCCGCGGUGCAUUAGCUAGUUGGUGAGGUAACGGCUCACCAAGGCCACGAUGCAUAGCCGGCCUGAGAGGGUGAUCGGCCACACCGGGACUGAGACACGGCCCAGACUCCUACGGGAGGCAGCAGUAGGGAAUCUUCGGCAAUGGACGAAAGUCUGACCGAGCAACGCCGCGUGAGUGAAGAAGGUUUUCGGAUCGUAAAACUCUGUUGUUAGAGAAGAACAAGGAUGAGAGUAGAACGUUCAUCCCUUGACGGUAUCUAACCAGAAAGCCACGGCUAACUACGUGCCAGCAGCCGCGGUAAUACGUAGGUGGCAAGCGUUGUCCGGAUUUAUUGGGCGUAAAGCGAGCGCAGGCGGUUUCUUAAGUCUGAUGUGAAAGCCCCCGGCUCAACCGGGGAGGGUCAUUGGAAACUGGGAGACUUGAGUGCAGAAGAGGAGAGUGGAAUUCCAUGUGUAGCGGUGAAAUGCGUAGAUAUAUGGAGGAACACCAGUGGCGAAGGCGGCUCUCUGGUCUGUAACUGACGCUGAGGCUCGAAAGCGUGGGGAGCGAACAGGAUUAGAUACCCUGGUAGUCCACGCCGUAAACGAUGAGUACUAAGUGUUGGAGGGUUUCCGCCCUUCAGUGCUGCAGCA
rnacentral:rRNA from 1 species